rnacentral:rRNA from 1 species
UACAGAGGGUGCGAGCGUUAAUCGGAAUUACUGGGCGUAAAGCGUGCGUAGACGGUUACGUAAGUCGGGUGUGAAAGCCCCGGGCUCAACCUGGGAAUUGCAUUCGAGACUGCGUAGCUAGGGUGCGGAAGAGGGAAGCGGAAUUUCCGGUGUAGCGGUGAAAUGCGUAGAUAUCGGAAGGAACAUCAGUGGCGAAAGCGGCUUCCUGGUCCAGCACCGACGUUCAGGCACGAAAGCGUGGGGAG